UACGUAGGCAGCAAGCGUUGUUCGGAGUUACUGGGCGUAAAGGGUGCGUAGGCGGCUUUUUAAGUUUGGUGUGAAAUCUCCCGGCUCAACUGGGAGGGUGCGCCGAAUACUGAGAGGCUAGAGUGUGGGAGAGGAAAGUGGAAUUCCUGGUGUAGCGGUGAAAUGCGUAGAUAUCAGGAGGAACACCGGUGGUGUAAACGGCUUUCUGGACCAUAACUGACGCUGAGGAGCGAAAGCGUGGGGAGCGAACAGG
rnacentral:rRNA from 1 species